UUAAACCCUGCACUUCUUUCCGCCUCUUUAGACUCUUCAGACCAAAGAAGAAGACUCAUCUUCUCUCCAUCCCCUUUUCAUCUUCGUACUCCCAUUGGCCGUCCAUCAUAUUCUGCAAAUGGAGUUUUGGGGUGUUGAAGUCAAGCCUGGAGAACCUCUGAAGGUCAAACCUGAAGUGUUCAGGCUUAUUCACAUCUCCCAGGCAGCUUUGGGUGAGGUAAAGGAUGGAAAAGGGCCAAAGUGUGUUCCGAUUCAUUUUGAAGGUUGGCGACAAAAAAUAUGUUAUGGGGACUCUUUCAGCAGAGGAUAGACCACAGUUGAUGUUUGACUUGGUUUUUGAGAGAGAAUUUGAGCUCUCACAUGACUGGAAAGAUGGAAGCAUCUACUUCGCUGGAUACAUUGCUGAUGAUGACAGUA